UGACCUCGGAUCAGACGUGAUUACCCGCUGAACUUAAGCAUAUCACUAAGCGGAGGAAAAGAAACUAACAAGGAUUCCCUCAGUAACGGCGAGUGAACAGGGAAGAGCCCAGCACCGAAGCCUGUGGCCAGUUGGUCACUAGGCAAUGUGGUGUUCAGGUCGUUCCGCGGAGGUGCUGCUCCAUUGCAGGUCCAGCAAUGGGCACCGUAAUGUUGACAUGUUGUUGGGGUGGAGGGGCAAAAUUGAUGGCACCUUCCUGGGUAGAGUCGGGUCGUUUGUGAAUGCAGCCCAAAGUGGGUGGUAAACUCCAUCCAAGGCUAAAUACUUGCACGAGUCCGAUAGCGAACAAGUACCGUGAGGGAAAGUUGAAAAGUACUUUGAAGAGAGAGUAAACAGUGCGUGAAACCGCUCAGAGGUAAACGGGUGGAGUUGAACUGUGAGCUCUGUGGAUUUAGCUGGUGAGUGUGGUUUGAGCUUGGUCAAAUUGGUUGAUGCUCGGGGUCUGCGUAGCAGCAGGUCUUCACCUUCGGGUGGGGAUGCGCGCUUCGAGUUGAUUCGGGCCAGCUUGCCAGUGCACUUUCGCAGAGCGGUCACCACGACCGGCAUCGCUGUCUUGCUGUUGUGGUUAAACCGGCCUUGCAUUGUCCUUGUGGCUUUGUCUGGUCGGGAUGGCAGGUAGCCCGUUGGCUUCCCUGUGGCUUCUUGUAGGUGUUCGGUUAUCGGAUAUAAUCGUCUGAUCACACCGGUUAUGUGCAGUAGGUCGGAAAACCGCGGCUUUUGGUCUAUGCGUGCCAUUUGGUCGGUGUGCUCGAGUUCGGCUACCCGUGUUCACAGGCCCAGCGGUAUUGUGGAUUCUUUCGGUCGGCAGUUACUUGCGUGUCACUGCUUCCAGGACCAUUAGUCUGUGGGUUUGCGGUAAAUUGUCCACCCGAUCUCUACCUCUCGACUUCCUCUAUCUAGGUUCGGGCAACCUGGCGGUCUCCCAGCCCUCGUGCAACCUUCGGGUGGCCUUCCGCCUUGUGCGUCAGACUGUUGAGUCGUCGGCUCCGGGUAGGGUCCCCAAAGAAAACCCUACAUUUUCCCACCGCCUUGUGGGUCAGACUUUUGGGUCAAAGGCUCAAGGUGGGGUACCUCAACCAAACCCCCUUCCUCGGCCUGAGCAACCGGGAAGUCUCAUUUGCCCGCGCAGUUCAGCGUCCACCGAUGUCCCUCCCCAACCCCUUCCCACUGCACAAGCAAACGUCGCUGGGCCAUUUGACUGUCGGUCAUCUGACCGAAGGGCCUUAUGCUCCUCGCUGCCUACAAACAUUAAACAAAAUAACACCUUUCUAAAUCCACGAGAUCCUUUCCACAUAGGAGCUUUUAACGUCCGUACUCUAUGUCAAAUUGGCAAACAGGCGAUGCUUGCUGAAACCU
rnacentral:ncRNA from 1 species